UACAUUUUGGCUUCGAUCCUGGGUUCAAGAUAUAUUAUUUUUUGUUGCUUUAGCGGUGUAUGGCCCGGGAAAACUGUGUCAUCGUUUCACAAGUUAAAGGCCUUUGUCAUUCCAAUCGAUCUUUCAUUGGACUGAAACUAAUCGCACAGUGCGAGAAGCGCAUCGCACUUAUAUUUGUGACUUAUUUGCGGCUCUCGUUUUCCAACCAUGACGAAAUCCGGUGUUAUUGAUAUGUACCUCCCACGGCGUGGUUUCAGCUUUGAUCUGUAUCGUUGCAACGCCGUGUUAUAGCAGCAGCAGGGGGCGCCAAUCUGUCCGGGCACCGGAAUACGGAGAACCUCCAUCGUUGGCCUCAUUUGCUUUCUAACCUCGGCUACCGUGCAGAUUGACUGUUAUCCUGGGAGCUGAUACGUGAGUGACGGCAGGAGAGAUCGGUUGCGACAAGAAUUGUGAAAAAGAUUUGUUACCUUGCUCCAAGCAUUUUCUGUUGCGGAGCCGGUACUGCAACCGAUACCGAAAAUGUCACAGAUAUGGUGAGUUCCGAGCUGGCACUGCAUCGGUAUGCCACUGGUCGAGAAUCACACGUUGUAACGGCAUUGACCACUCUUAAAUCUCGUCUGUUCUGGUUUGGACUUGCAGGUUUCUCCUUAUGGAUCCAGACACCCUCUCAUUUGCGACGAUGGGUUCAGGUGCCUUGGCUGCCAUGUGUGUAUUUGAAUCCAGAUAGAAGGAGAGUAUAACGGAUGGAAAAGCAUAUUUGCGCAAUUAUCAGCAACCUAAUCCUCGCAGCUAUACCAGUAGAAAGAGUUACAAUUUCAGGAAUGGACAUACUGGAGGGUUUUUCUAUUCUCCCACGAUUUUGUGGUUGAAUUGUACAGAAUCAUUUUAUGGACUUUUAAUGCAAAUUCUUCUUGUAGAAUGCACUAGAUAUUUAAUAACUA